rnacentral:rRNA from 1 species
UUGAAGCAGAGGACAGUGGCGGACGGGUGAGUAACGCGUGAGGAACCUGCCGUUCAGGAUGGGGGACAACAGACGGAAACGACUGCUAAUACCGAAUAAGUUCCAAGAGCCGCAUGGCCCAUGGAAGAAAAGGUGGCCUCUACCUGUAAAGCUAUCGCCUGAAGAGGGGUUUGCGUCUGAUUAGCUGGUUGGAGGGGUAACGGCCCACCAAGGCGACGAUCAGUAGCCGGUCUGAGAGGAUGAACGGCCACACUGGAACUGAGACACGGUCCAGACUCC